rfam:Gossypium raimondii Chr07_contig_34, whole genome shotgun sequence.
UGUAAAAUUUCAUCUAUUUUUGUUGUUAAAAACUAGACUAACAGAAUGACCAAAUAGUUACAUGUAAUGUGCCAUGUAUACCUCAUUUUGAUGUACAAGGCUCAGUUUUUAACAGUACAAGUGGACGGAAUUUUUAACA